rnacentral:lncRNA from 1 species
AUGAAAAAUUGAAUUUUAAAAUUGCUUGAAGUGAUGAAAAAUUGAAACAAGUGAACAAAUACAAGACAGGUGACACAUAUACAUAUAAUUUCUUCUAUCAGAGUGCAUAUGGACUAGCAUACUUUAAAAUAAACAUUUAAGUUUUUAUGCCAACAUUUAAGUAUGUCAACUAUUUAUUACUUUUAUAAAAUCGCUUUUUAAGUUUUUACCGCUUUCCUUUUUUUUUUUUUUUUUUUGUGUGUGUGCUUAACUUCUUAUAUUUAUAUAUACAUAUAUUUAUAUAUACAUAUAUUUAUAUAUACAUAUAUUUAUAUAUACAUAUAUUUAUAUGUACAUAUAUUUAUAUGUACAUAUAUUUAUAUGUACAUAUAUUUAUAUGUACAUAUAAUAUGUUUUCUUUUUCUUUCCUUUUUGAUUUUUAUUUUCAAUUUAAAAAAUUGUACAUAUUUUCAUAAAUAUAUUUCCAUUUUUAUUAUGUUAAUUUGUUUAUUUCUUUAUUUAUUUUUUUGACCAUUUAUUUAUUUAUUUGUUUAUUUUAUUUUUUUUUUUUGGGGGGGUGAACUAAAUUGCUAAUUUUAUUGUAAGACAUUAUUUUUUUUUAUUUUUAUAUAUGAAUUUUCAUAUUAUAUUUCAUAUUAACUUUUAAGUAUUAUUUUAAGUAUUACUUUAUAUAACUUUUAUAAAAUGUGAUUUUUUAAUUUUCAUACAUGGGAAAUUGUUUAUGUAGAUGUUUACUAAAAAUCUAAUAUAUAUAUAUACAUAUAUAUUUGUACAUGUUUUUCUUUUAUUUUCCCUUUUUUAAAAUUUACUUUUGUUUAUUCAUUUCAAGUAUAUCAUUUUUUUUAUUUUUUUGUAAACUGUUUUAUCUGUUAAAGGUCUAUUUGUUUGUACUUUUAAUUUAUAUGAUUUAUUAAGCUAUUUUAUUUCACUAAACUUUUUUUUUUUGUUUUUUUUUUUGUUAUAUAUAAAUUAAAAACAAAUGAGCAACAUUCACACGUUAGCAGAUUAUAGGGAUGACUUUGGGGAACAUUUACCAUUCAAUAGAGGAUAUUAUGAGUCACAGAGCAGUUUCAUUCAAAGAUCAAAACCAAUCGAUAUAGUUCAACUUAUUUUUCCACACUUUACAUGGUUCAGUUUUGUCAUUGCUGUCUCUAUUAUACAAAUAAUUAUUUUUAUUAUAUUAAUUGCC